AUGCUGUAUGCAGGUCUCUUACCUGUAGUUCUCCGCACUGGAGCUGCACGAGCUUCACAUUCCAACUGUCCAGCCAUGCAUGACAUCCCCUUCACAGAGGCUCAUCAUGCGUGCGAAGAUCAGGCAAAACAUCUUUCAAAUAUCCCUAGGUCAGCUUGCUUGUACACACUCUCUCUCUAUUUCCCUCUCUCCUCCUGUCUAUCCUUUCUUGUGAGGGCAUGGAGAGCCACCCAAAAGCAGCAGCCCGCUGUGCUAAGUGGAGAGAAGGUUCCAGCUGCUAGAAGACGUUGGCUUUGAUUUCUACUCUGUCUCUUACUAUAGUUGUGUAACCUUAGAGAAGUUCCUUUACUCUUUGAGCUGAUGUCAUGCCCAUCUAUAAAACUGGGGUGAAGAUUCCAAUUUUCCAACAUUCUAAAGCUUUUAAAGACCAACAGAGAUCAUAUUGCAGAAUGCAGAGCUGGAGGUGGAGAUGGAGAGGGGAGAUUGGCCAGCACCUGCAAAGGCCUUGAGGUGAGAUGUGCAAAGGUGAUAGCGAGUUUAGAUGAAACGGGUAAUCUGGGGUCAAAAUAACGAAAAUCAGUCUAGUUCACAUUUGGGAUUUUCAUCUUUAUCUUGAGAGCUGUAAGAAGACCUUGAACUAUUUUAAAAAUGACAAAGAGGCUUGAGAUCGUCAGGUUUGUGUUUUGAGAUCAUUCUUGUGAAGAAAAGUUCCAGGGUUCCAUGUGUCCUUUGUAUCUUGGUGGCUCUCACAUCUUUAGCUCUGGCUCACACCUUUAUUCCAAGUUUCAUACAUGUAUAUUCAACUGUCUAUAGCACAACUCUCACGAUUGUUUCCCAAGCACUCAAACCCAGCAUGUAUCAAACUGAACUCUAGUUCUUCCUCCCCAAAGCUGACUCUCCUCCACUGUCCCCUCCACACUGUAUUUCUUUUAAAUGGAAACUGUAGCAGAAACUGCUAGUUGCCUCUUCCUUCUCCCUUAGAAAUGGAAUCUUGUGUAAUACGCCUAGUAAAACAUUAUGUUUCUCCGUUUCCCAGACUGUCCCACAGCUGGAAGUGACUGAGUUGUAGCUGAUGAGAUGUAAGUGGAAGCUUUACUUCCAGUAAAGCUCCUUAAAGGGGCUCCAUUUUGCACUUCCACUUACUCUCUUUCUUAUACCCUGAAACAUAGGUGUGAUGGCUGGAAUUCCUGCAGCCACCUUGGACCCUGAGGAGAGAACAAAUGUGGCAGAGUGGUUGAAUAGAUAGAACCAAGUAUUGAAGAGCUUCUAAACAGACUUGGACUAUCUACCAUCAGAUGACUUUCACCCGAGGAAAAACAAAUUCUUCUUGCUGUUUAAGUCAUUAUAAUUGGAUUUCUUGUUCCUCACAGCUGAAACUAAUCCUAAGUGAUAGGAUUCUGGGAAUCCUUCCCUAAAUCUACUCUUACACAAAGUUCUGCAUUCUGGCUAUCUCUUCAAUACAUCUCCUUCUUUUAUCCUUGUCUGAGCCAGAUCAUCUUUUGCUGGCGUGAUUGUAACAACCUCCUCACUUCCCCUGUUUUCAAGCCCCUCCUCACCAAUGCCCACGCUCAAAGAAUUUCCACCUUUUAGUUAAAAAGACAUUCUAGAACUCAAUUAUGACUCUGCUACUUCUAGGGGAAUCAUGGAAUUACAGGCACUGAAAAGGUAGAGCUUAAAGGGCCCUUAAAGGUCAUUUAAUUUUGAAUUUCUUACUUGUUGGUUUGGCUUGAUUAAAAAAAAAAAAAAGCAAAUGGAGUUUUCCACGGGCCUCUUGUGAUUGUAUACAAAUUAUUCGAUAUAUAAAAUACAGAAGGCUGUGCA
rnacentral:lncRNA from 1 species